rnacentral:rRNA from 1 species
AUUGAACGCUGGCGGCAGGCCUAACACAUGCAAGUCGAGCGGAUGAAGGGAGCUUGCUCCUGGAUUCAGCGGAGGACGGGUGAGUAAUGCCUAGGAAUCUGCCUGGUAGUGGGGGAUAACGUUCGGAAACGGGCGCUAAUACCGCAUACGUCCUGAGGGAGAAAGUGGGGGAUCUUCGGACCUCACGCUAUCAGAUGAGCCUAGGUCGGAUUAGCUAGUUGGUGGGGUAAAGGCCUACCAAGGCGACGAUCCGUAACUGGUCUGAGAGGAUGAUCAGUCACACUGGAACUGAGACACGGUCCAGACUCCUACGGGAGGCAGCAGUGGGGAAUAUUGGACAAUGGGCGAAAGCCUGAUCCAGCCAUGCCGCGUGUGUGAAGAAGGUCUUCGGAUUGUAAAGCACUUUAAGUUGGGAGGAAGGGCAGUAAGUUAAUACCUUGCUGUUUUGACGUUACCAACAGAAUAAGCACCGGCUAACUUCGUG